AGACCUCAGAUCAGGCAAGGCU
rnacentral:rRNA from 1 species